rnacentral:rRNA from 1 species
GGUUAAGCGACUAAGCGUACACGGUGGAUGCCCUGGCAGUCAGAGGCGAUGAAGGACGUGCUAAUCUGCGAUAAGCGUCGGUAAGGUGAUAUGAACCGUUAUAACCGGCGAUUUCCGAAUGGGGAAACCCAGUGUGAUCCGUCACACUAUCAUUACGUGAAUACAUAGCGUAAUGAAGCGAACCGGGGGAACUGAAACAUCUAAGUACCCCGAGGAAAAGAAAUCAACCGAGAUUCCCCCAGUAGCGGCGAGCGAACGGGGAGCAGCCCAGAGUCUGAAUCAGCUUGUGUGUUAGUGGAACGGUCUGGAAAGUCCGACGGUACAGGGUGAUAGUCCCGUACACCAAAAUGCACAGGUUGUGAACUCGAAGAGUAGGGCGGGACACGUGGUAUCCUGUCUGAAUAUGGGGGGACCAUCCUCCAAGGCUAAAUACUCCUGACUGACCGAUAGUGAACCAGUACCGUGAGGGAAAGGCGAAAAGAACCCCGGCGAGGGGAGUGAAAAAGAACCUGAAACCGUGUACGUACAAGCAGUGGGAGCCUCUUUAUGGGGUGACUGCGUACCUUUUGUAUAAUGGGUCAGCGACUUAUAUUCUGUAGCAAGGUUAACCGUAUAGGGGAGCCGAAGGGAAACCGAGUCUUAACUGGGCGUUAAGUUGCAGGGUAUAGACCCGAAACCCGGUGAUCUAGCCAUGGGCAGGUUGAAGGUUGGGUAACACUAACUGGAGGACCGAACCGACUAAUGUUGAAAAAUUAGCGGAUGACUUGUGGCUGGGGGUGAAAGGCCAAUCAAACCGGGAGAUAGCUGGUUCUCCCCGAAAGCUAUUUAGGUAGCGCCUCGUGAAUUCAUCUUCGGGGGUAGAGCACUGUUUCGGCUAGGGGGUCAUCCCGACUUACCAACCCGAUGCAAACUGCGAAUACCGAAGAAUGUUAUCACGGGAGACACACGGCGGGUGCUAACGUCCGUCGUGAAGAGGGAAACAACCCAGACCGCCAGCUAAGGUCCCAAAGUCAUGGUUAAGUGGGAAACGAUGUGGGAAGGCACAGACAGCCAGGAUGUUGGCUUAGAAGCAGCCAUCAUUUAAAGAAAGCGUAAUAGCUCACUGGUCGAGUCGGCCUGCGCGGAAGAUGUAACGGGGCUAAACCAUGCACCGAAGCUGCGGCAGCGACACUAUGUGUUGUUGGGUAGGGGAGCGUUCUGUAAGCCGUUGAAGGUGUA